rnacentral:rRNA from 1 species
UACGAGAGGCCCAAACGUUAUUCGGAAUUACUGGGCUUAAAGAGUUCGUAGGCGGCAUGAAAAGUAGGGUGUGAAAGCCCUCGGCUUAACCGAGGAAUUGCGCUCUAAACUGUCGUGCUCGAGGAACCUAGAGGUGAGCAGAACAGAUGGUGGAGCGGUGAAAUGCGUUGAUAUCAGAAGGAACGCCGGUGGCGAAAGCGGCGGACUGGAGCUCUUCUGACGCUGAGGCGCGAAAGCUAGGGGAGCAAACGGG